UGAAGCAGAUAGAAGAAUUCUUGCUGUCAUUUUCAGAUCCACACAUUUUCUCAGAGGCUGCUACAUCAUCGGCGCCGGCAACCUUGGCACAGGUAGUGGAAGCAGUUCGAAUACCGGAAGCUGGGAACUUGAUAUGCAGUUCCAUAGGAGUGAAAACUUAAUUUACUUUGCCAAUAUCCUUCCGUGGAAUUGUUUUCCAGUGCUGCUGCAAUUGGGAAAUAUGUUUCAAUGCUUCAAAAUCCUUCAUCUCUCCUUCGAGCCUGUGCUGCUUUUGCUUUUGUUCAGGUAAAAUUGUUACAUGUUUUUGGUGAGUUUGGUAUUUAUGUUGUUGGACAGACUACAAAGCUUUAUGUUACUUUUGCAAUUGGUGCCACAAAUGAGUCUUCCAUACACGGCAAAGCAAUAAAUAAUAGGAUGACAUAGAGACAUUCACACCUCUUCUUUUUUGAGAGGUUUUUUUUUUGUUUAGUUCACUCUUCCUGGAGGUCAGCACGCAAUGCACCAUGCAGGACUCUUGCAGAAUGCUGGAGCAUCGCCUGUUCUUCGUGCUUCUGCUGAAGCUGCCACUGCCCGGAUCGAAUCGAAAAUGUAUGCAAGG